CGUAAGAUUAAGAACUAAGAAGUGAAUGAUUAUAUUUAUAUAUAUUCCCAAGAAAGUGACGGCAAUUGGGACAAGAAACAUGAGAGUGUCGAUCGAAGAAGACUCGUAACAUAGAACUUUCAAUUUCAUCGUCAAAAAAUCAACACGAUAAAAAUAUGAUUCGUUUUAUAUAAUAAUAUCUUAAAAAUACGAUUAUGGAGAUUUGACAAAAAAAACCUAAAAGAAACGAUUAUAGAAAAAA
rnacentral:lncRNA from 1 species